AUUGACUAGGAGUAGUCACCACUUUGUGAGAAUUUUUAGUACAGGACCAGAACUCAGAAGAAUGCAAUCCACAUGACAACAAGGAGUUUUGUCUGUUUUUUCAACAGUUGUAACUUUAACACCUGGAAGAAUGCCUGGCUCAUAAAGAAGAAGAAGAAGAAGAAGAAGAAGGAAGAAGUUAUAUUCAUGUUCACCGACAGUAGAGUGGUGGAGGAAGCUGUGUUUUCUGCAGCCCUAGGGACCCAGGAUGCUUGGGAUUCAAUCUGUUCAUUCUUCUUCAUGCCACUAUCUGGCCUGCUCUUCCCCAGUCAUACCCACCCCCUGCAAUCCCUUUCCUGCUCAGGAUUCACUGUGGCACCUCCUAGCACUGUUUCACCUGCAAAGUUCUGUACAAAGACCUCUGCUGUUCCAGAAUUUCUGGCCAGAAAGGGGUCAUAUGUCCUGGAUAGUUCUUCUCAUUUUGAUAGUCGUCUUAUUUUGGAAAACAACAACAACAACAAAAGGAAUUUAUAAAAUAUGCCAAAAUGUUAUUUAUUUAUUUAUUGAGAUAAGGUCUUACUAUGUUGUUCAUUCUGGCCUUAAACUCAAGAUUCUUCUGUCUCAGCCUCUGGCGUAACUGGGAUUUCAGGUGCAUGCCACCAUGCCUGACCUUGAAAUGAGUUUAGUAUCUGCUCUC